rnacentral:rRNA from 1 species
UACGUAGGGGGCAAGCGUUGUCCGGAAUUAUUGGGCGUAAAGCGCGCGCAGGCGGUGCGUUAAGUCGGAUGUGAAAGGCUACGGCUCAACCGUAGAGCUGCAUCCGAAACUGGCGGACUUGAGUGCAGGAGAGGGGAGUGGAAUUCCCGGUGUAGCGGUGGAAUGCGUAGAGAUCGGGAGGAACACCAGUGGCGAAGGCGACUCUCGGGCCUGUAAAUGACGAUGAGGCGCGAAAGCGUGGGGAGCAAACAGG